GAUGAACGCUGGCGGCGUGCCUAAUACAUGCAAGUAGAACGCUGAAGGAAGGAGCUUGCUCUUUCCGGAUGAGUUGCGAACGGGUGAGUAACGCGUAGGUAACCUGCCUGGUAGCGGGGGAUAACUAUUGGAAACGAUAGCUAAUACCGCAUAACAGUAGAUGUUGCAUGACCACUAUUUGAAAGGGGCAAUUGCUCCACUACCAGAUGGACCUUGGUUGUAUUAGCUAGUUUGUUAGGUAACGGCCUACCAAAGCGACGAUACGUAGCCGGCCUGAGAGGGGGAUCGGCCACACUGGAACUGAGACCAGGCCCAGACUCCUAAGGGAGGCAGCAGGAGGGAAUCUUCGGCAAUGGACGGAAGUCUGAACGAGCAACGCCGCGUGAGGGAAGAAGGGUGUCGGAUCGGAAAGCUCGGUUGUAAGAGAAGAACGAGUGUGAGAGUGGAAAGUUCACACUGUGACGGUAUCUUACCAGAAAGGGACGGCUAACUACGUG
rnacentral:rRNA from 1 species